GGUUGGUCCAUAGAACUAGAAUACUAACGGGAACGCCCACUCGGUGACGUAUAACGGUGAUGACAUAAUUAUGUUGUACAUCGCAUGCGCGAAGUCAAUAAGGCACAAGUAACUUCCGGCCGUAUGUCAACAUGGCAGAAGCGUACGACGUCCUGGAAUUUCAAGAACUUGACGGUGUAAUAGAUCUUUUCUUUGCUAAAGAUUUGUUUGAGACAUCUCAACCUGUCGUUCCAGUAGCAUCCGCGGAACAUCCGAACAAAACACAAUUCGCGCCAGGCAUUUUGUUAGUGCGAGCAGAAACCGGAAGUAAGCUGUGCCCGAUAUCAGCGUCAGAGGCCCGCCGUCACAUAAGGUAGUGACGUCACACGGUGGGCGUUCCCGGUAGUAUUCUAGUUCUAUGGUUGGUCCAACUUCAACGAAGUCAUUAGACAUUUUCUGAGUUAUCUCCCCUUUGAGAAAAUAAGGAUCAAAUUUUUCAAUAAAAUCGACAAAAUAUAGG